rnacentral:tRNA from 1 species
GCCCUGGUAUCCCAACGGCAGAGGAAACGGAUUCAAAACCCGUCCAGUGUGGGUUCGAAUCCCACCCAGGGCA